AGACCAAGUGACUAGUGGAGUAGUGGUGACUGAGUAUCUGGACCCAGUCAUGCAUGAUCUUGAUCCCUUUUCUUUUUUUUUUUUUUUUCCCACUUCUUUUUUUUUUUUUUUUUUUUUUUUUGGGCUACACAGAGAAACCCUGUCUCAGAAAACAACAACAACAACAACAAAAAACCAAACCAAAACAAAAAAAGAAUCUCUGUAUAAGAAGUUAGCAGUAGUGGAGGAAGUAUGAACAUGUCUGAGACAGGGAUGUGAAAAACACACCUGUGGUGUGAAAACACUCACGCUCCCAGGGUGGAUUCAGGGCCAGAGUAGGAAGCUUGCCAGAGUCAAGUUUAGGACCAGAGGAGUGAGUUUUUGCCUUUGAGCUGGCAGGAGGAGGUUGUUUCCUAUAGGCUUUGAGGCUUUGGAUAAUCAUAAAAUUGACUUACGCCGGGCGUGGUGGCGCACGCCUUUAAUCCCAGCACUCGGGAGGCAGAGGCAGGUGGAUUUCUGAGUUCGAGGCCAGCCUGGUCUACAAAGUGAGUUCCAGGACAGCCAGGGCUAUAGAGAAACCCUGUCUCGAAAAACCCAAAAAAA
rnacentral:lncRNA from 1 species